rnacentral:rRNA from 1 species
AAGGAUCAUCAUUGAAUGAAUUUGGUGUGGUUGUCGCUGGCCCUCUUGGGGGUAUGUGCACACCUCCCAUCCUCAUCUCUCCACCUGUGCACCUCUUGUAGAUUUGGAAUUGAUUAUCCGAGGCAACUCGGUCGUGAGGACUGCUAGCACUUAGCUGGCUUUCUUUGCAAUUCCAGGUCUAUGUUUUUCAUAUACCCCAUUGUAUGUAACAGAAUGUAUCAUUGGGCCCUUGUGCCUAUAAACCUUAUACAACUUUCAGCAACGGAUCUCUUGGCUCUCGCAUCGAUGAAGAACGCAGCGAAAUGCGAUAAGUAAUGUGAAUUGCAGAAUUCAGUGAAUCAUCGAAUCUUUGAACGCACCUUGCGCUCCUUGGUAUUCCGAGGAGCAUGCCUGUUUGAGUGUCAUUAAAUUCUCAACCAUUAUCAACUUUUGCUGAUAAUGGCUUGGAUGUGGGGGUCUAUUUUGCUGGCUUCUCAGAUAGUCAGCUCCCCUUAAAUGCAUUAGCCGGUGCCCCGCGUGGACUGUCUAUUGGUGUGAUAAUUAUCUACGCUGUAGACAUCUGCAAUUAUAUGGGUUUGCACUGCUUCUAACAGUCUGUCAAUUCAGACAAUACAUGACAAUUUGACCUCAAAUCAGGUAGGACUACCCGCUGAACUUAAGCAUAUCAAUAAGCGGAGGAAAAGAAACUAACAAGGAUUCCCCUAGUAACUGCGAGUGAAGCGGGAAAAGCUCAAAUUUAAAAUCUGGCGGUCUCUGGCCGUCCGAGUUGUAAUUUAA